UCCAACCUCUACAGGUGACAUAAGGAGGCUAAAUGUAGACUAAAUGGUAUCAUACAGCAUGUUUUUGUUUCCUAACCUGAUUCGUUCAUUCAACAAAUGUUUCUUGCAGAUUAAAAAAAAACAACCCCAAAACCUUUUGAUUAUCACGUGUGUCUAUGUUUGUGUGUGUGCAUGGGUUUAUAUGCCAGAGUCUCCACACCAGAAUUUAAUAUGGAUGACAAGUCGAGUCUACAGGGUCUCAAUUAGAGUCCGAAGGCUGUUUUCCUCUGUGGCAGAUUUUCUCAAAUGUGAUUUUAUUAGUCAGUCAGAGAAAGCAGGUGGAUUUUUAGCUUAAAAUGCCCACUUACUCAGUUAAUUAUAGGUAUCAGUUUGUGUAUUGUGUAUAAUCAAGGGUGCAGCAGUGAUGUGGAACUAAAUAACAAACCCAACAUAGGCAGGGACCUCAAACAGCCUGACAUUAAAGAUCUGAAAUACAGUUUUCACGGUUUUGUUCUAUUAUUAGCAUUCUGCAUGAACUCUUACUCAUAACCAGCAGAUAAAGUUAGCAGACUUGGUGGUUUCACAGGGUCUCUGUGGUUUUUACAGUGGCUGCAGCAACUCAUGACACAAUAACUGCAUUAUUACCAGGACAUAUGUCACUGUUUAAGUUGCUUUAAUGAUUUGAGAGGUCACUGGGAGUAUAAGUGAUUUUAAAAUUUACAUUUUUGAAUGUUUUUUUUUCUUUUUCUUUCUUUUUGAUUUUGCAGUUCCAUUAUCCCGAGAGUGGGAAGCAGAGUAAAAAGGCCAUUCACCUGCAUCUUAACAUGGGCUUAGCACUUCAUAAAAAGAUAAGGAGUUGGACAAAGCCCUAAAGCCUCAUGGUGAAAGCUGCUGACAGUAAUUACAGCAUGGUGACAAAAGAGGGCUAAAAUGUGCUGACAUUUGCAGAGAAGUGUAAAGGCUAUCUUAGACUAAUAACCACUACAGAUGUUUACUUGUUGUGUCAGUCAUUAUGUCAGAAGAAUGAUGCACGUUUUAGUCAGGUGCUUUUGCAUAUUCCUGUGCUAAACCAAUGCACUCAUUUUCCCACACAACAGCCUCUAAGGAGAGUGACCCACUAAUCACUGAAAAGCACUCCUUCAACACCAUCCACAUUUCAGGUUUUUCUUGUACAAUCAAUGCAUUGUUGCAUGUCUUCCCAUCAAUAACUUGACAAUAAGCUCAUGUUAUUGCUUCUGCAGAAUCUGACAGCAUGACAUUCCCUUUGAAUGAUGACACUUAAUGGUUUAUGUCUCUCCGUACACCCACUAUUUUGAUGGAUGAGACAUAUGCUGUCGUCUGCAGCGCUGCGGUCACAGCAUCUCUACAUCUUAUUGUCUCAUAAGUCAUUGAGCUUUUGAGGGGCUCCUGCCACUGCUCUCAUGCCCCUCUGCAGUCUGCUGUGUUUGUGCAGGCUUAGCUAAGUACAGGCUAAUUAAAUUAUUAAAUGUCUGUGGUUUAAUCUAUAUAAAGACACAGGGUGAUAGGUGAACAGCUGCUUCAUCGAGUGAUGAGAAAUUAAAAAAAAGAAAAAGAAAAAAGCUUUCAGUCCUCAAUCAGUCGUUCCUCCGUUGCUUGUUUUGUCUGUCUACCUGUCACUUUCUGCCACACACACACAUGCAUAUGCAAACAUGGAAACUGUUUUCAUGGAAACAGACAUGUGCACAAAGCUGUUAUGUGUUUGGUCCUCUUUUUGUUAUGCUAUUUAAUUAUGUCUUUUUUCCCCCCGUUUUUGUGGAACGGCCCACACACACACUUUGUCUUUUACUCCUUCCUUCAUUGUAUCACUCAUUUUGUUUCAGUGUCACUCACCCAGUGUCUUUCUUUCCUCACGCUCUGUUGACAGUGAAACUAUUUCUAGAUCCCUGAGCCACACAGCACUGUUUGCUGUUAU
ensembl:lncRNA